rnacentral:rRNA from 1 species
AUUGAACGCUGGCGGCAGGCUUAACACAUGCAAGUCGAGCGGUAUCACAAGAGAUCUUGCUCUCUGGGUGACGAUCGGCGGACGGUUGAUUAAUGUCUGGUAAACUGCCUGCUGGAUUGGGAUAACUAUUGGAAACGGUAUCUAAUACCGCAUAACGUCGCCAGACCACAUGGGGGGACCUUCGGGCCUCUUUUCGUCAGGUGUUCCCAUCUGGGAUUAGCUGGUAGGUGGGGUAAUGGUUCACCUAGGCGACGUUCCCUAGCUGGUCUGAGAGGAUGACGAGCCACACUGGAACUGAGACACGGUCCAGACUCCUACGGGAGGCAGCAGUGGGGAAUAGUGAACAAUGGGCGCAAGCCUGAUGCAGCCAUGCCGCGUGUGUGAAGAAGGCCUUCGGGUUGUAAAGCAAUUUCAGCGAGGAGGAAGGUGGUGAACUUAAUACGUUCAUCAAUUGACGUUACUCGCAGAAGAAGCACCGGCUAACUACGUG